rnacentral:rRNA from 1 species
CAGUAGCCGCGGGAAUACGGAGGGGGCUAGCGUUACUCGGAAUUACUGGGCGUAAAGGGCGCGUAGGCGGCACGAUUAGUCGGGCAUGAAAUUCCUGGGCUCAACCUGGGGACUGCGCUUGAUACGGUCGAGCUAGAGGAUGGAAGAGGGUUGUGGAAUUCCCAGUGUAGAGGUGAAAUUCGUAGAUAUUGGGAAGAACACCGGUGGCGAAGGCGGCAACCUGGUCCAUUACUGACGCUGAGGCGCGACAGCGUGGGGAGCAAACAGGAUUAGAUACCCGCGUAGUCCCUGUCUCUUAUAC